AGUCGCACGCACCUUCGGGUGAGUGGCGCACGGCUGAGGAACACGUGGCUAACCUGCCCAUGAGUGGGGGAUAACGGGCCGAAAGGCUCGCUAAGCCCGCAUACGAUCCGUUGUGGCGGAGGAAAGCUUCGGCGCUCAUGGAGGGGGCCGCGCCCCAUUAGCUGGUUGGUGUGGUAAUGGCGCACCAAGGCUGUGAUGGGUUCCGGGUCUGAGAGGACGAUCCGGCAGAUUGGGACUGAGACACGGCCCAAACUCCUACGGGGGGCAGCAGCAAGGAAUUUUCCCCAAUGGGCGCAAGCCUGAGGGAGCAACGCCGCGUGGAGGAUGACGGCUUUCGGGUUGUAAACUCCUUUUGAU
rnacentral:rRNA from 1 species